rnacentral:piRNA from 1 species
AGGAAAGACCACAGACCAAAUGGAAGAU